rnacentral:tRNA from 1 species
GCCACCCUAGCUCAAUCGGCAGAGCAACCGCUUCGUAAGCGGUAGGUUUUGGGUUCGACUCCCAAGGGUGGCU